UUGAACGCUGGCGGCAGGCCUAACACAUGCAAGUCGAGCGGUAGCACAGAGAGCUUGCUCUCGGGUGACGAGCGGCGGACGGGUGAGUAAUGUCUGGGAAACUGCCUGAUGGAGGGGGAUAACUACUGGAAACGGUAGCUAAUACCGCAUAAUGUCGCAAGACCAAAGUGGGGGACCUUCGGGCCUCAUGCCAUCAGAUGUGCCCAGAUGGGAUUAGCUAGUAGGUGGGGUAACGGCUCACCUAGGCGACGAUCCCUAGCUGGUCUGAGAGGAUGACCAGCCACACUGGAACUGAGACACGGUCCAGACUCCUACGGGAGGCAGCAGUGGGGAAUAUUGCACAAUGGGCGCAAGCCUGAUGCAGCCAUGCCGCGUGUGUGAAGAAGGCCUUCGGGUUGUAAAGCACUUUCAGCGGGGAGGAAGGCGGUGAGGUUAAUAACCUCAUCGAUUGACGUUACCCGCAGAAGAAGCACCGGCUAACUCCGUGCCAGCAGCCGCGGUAAUACGGAGGGUGCAAGCGUUAAUCGGAAUUACUGGGCGUAAAGCGCACGCAGGCGGUCUGUCAAGUCGGAUGUGAAAUCCCCGGGCUCAACCUGGGAACUGCAUUCGAAACUGGCAGGCUAGAGUCUUGUAGAGGGGGGUAGAAUUCCAGGUGUAGCGGUGAAAUGCGUAGAGAUCUGGAGGAAUACCGGUGGCGAAGGCGGCCCCCUGGACAAAGACUGACGCUCAGGUGCGAAAGCGUGGGGAGCAAACAGGAUUAGAUACCCUGGUAGUCCACGCCGUAAACGAUGUCGAUUUGGAGGUUGUGCCCUUGAGGCGUGGCUUCCGGAGCUAACGCGUUAAAUCGACCGCCUGGGGAGUACGGCCGCAAGGUUAAAACUCAAAUGAAUUGACGGGGGCCCGCACAAGCGGUGGAGCAUGUGGUUUAAUUCGAUGCAACGCGAAGAACCUUACCUGGUCUUGACAUCCACAGAACUUUCCAGAGAUGGAUUGGUGCCUUCGGGAACUGUGAGACAGGUGCUGCAUGGCUGUCGUCAGCUCGUGUUGUGAAAUGUUGGGUUAAGUCCCGCAACGAGCGCAACCCUUAUCCUUUGUUGCCAGCGGUUAGGCCGGGAACUCAAAGGAGACUGCCAGUGAUAAACUGGAGGAAGGUGGGGAUGACGUCAAGUCAUCAUGGCCCUUACGACCAGGGCUACACACGUGCUACAAUGGCAUAUAUAAAGAGAAGCGACCUCGCGAGAGCAAGCGGACCUCAUAAAGUAUGUCGUAGUCCGGAUUGGAGUCUGCAACUCGACUCCAUGAAGUCGGAAUCGCUAGUAAUCGUAGAUCAGAAUGCUACGGUGAAUACGUUCCCGGGCCUUGUACACACCGCCCGUCACACCAUGGGAGUGGGUUGCAAAAGAUGUAGGUAGCUUAACCUUCGGGAGGGCGCUUACCACUUUGUGAUUCAUGACUGGGGUG
rnacentral:rRNA from 1 species